rnacentral:rRNA from 1 species
GUGUCAGCAGCCGCGGUAAGACAGAGGGUGCAAGCGUUGUUCGGAAUUACUGGGCAUAAAGCGCACGUAGGCGGUUCGCUAAGUCUGUCGUGAAAUCCCCCGGCUCAACCGGGGAAUAGCGUCGGAUACUGGCGAGCUCGAGGUCGAUAGGGGUAAGUGGAACUCCAGGUGGAGCGGUGAAAUGCGUAGAUAUCUGGAGGAACACCGGUGGCGAAAGCGGCUUACUGGAUCGAAUCUGACGCUGAGGUGCGAAAGCUAGGGUAGCAAACGGGAUUAGAAACCCCAGUAGUCC